UACGAAGGGGGCUAGCGUUGCUCGGAAUCACUGGGCGUAAAGCGCACGUAGGCGGCUUUCUAAGUCAGGGGUGAAAUCCUGGAGCUCAACUCCAGAACUGCCUUUGAUACUGGAGAGCUAGAGUCCGGAAGAGGUGAGUGGAACUGCGAGUGUAGAGCUGAAAUUCGUAGAUAUUCGCAAGAACACCAGUGGCGAAGGCGGCUCACUGGUCCGGUACUGACGCUGAGGUGCGAAAGCGUGGGGAGCAAACAGG
rnacentral:rRNA from 1 species